CACUGAUCACACAAUGGACAGUUCCAUCGGACUUCUACAUGUCAGACCACAGAAUCAUCGAAUUUGUGCUAGGAGCGAAAUGCGAUCUUCAGCGGAACCCCAGGAAUACGAACAGGCUAAACGGCGUUCUUACUGCUGACAUCGUUAACUCUAGCUGUAACGGCCAGGCCGAAAGGUAUGGUCAAAAUCGUGUGGUGGCCUGGGGAUCUCUCAACGCUAAGGAAAGAGGUGCUAGGUGCAAGGCUAGGUACACACAUCGCUGGGAGGUCUUAGGACCUUGGCCAGUGGUGCACAGCGUCGACUGAGCUACCAAAACCGGCGCAACAUUUUUUUGUCUUAGUAUGUGUAUGUCGCAACAGUUCGCUAGCUGCGCACACACGACUUGUUGUAUGUCAAAGCCGAGUAGCUUCCGGAGACUCCCAGCACGAUUUUCCGCGGCUUCUUGUUUGAUGCUGUAAAAGCCUAAGGUGUUUUGUUUAUGUUUAUCCAACCAUGUAACAACAUGAAAAUUAAAAGCUAAAAAUGAAGCAUAUGUAAAGAUACAUUUUUCAUCCACCUCUGAAAUCCUCCCGGCACAAUUGAAAUGAAAAAACUUCGCUUAUUUCACUAACAAAUCUUUGAUUUUAUUUUUCUUCUCUAUCUACUGAUAAUUUUAUGUAUGUAUUAUAACUAUGUAUAUAUGUAUUUGCUUAUAACCUAGCGGCUCAACAUCUUUCACUUGUUCUCUUAUAAAAAACAAACAGCACAGUACAGUAUGCGAUUGUAAAUACAUUGUAAUGUAUGUAUACGCUCCUCAUUCCACAUUGAAUUGUAUUACAUACUCACUAAUUUUUUUGUUUAGUUUUCAUUCAUACUUAAUAUGCGAUAUAACAUACAAAUAACUCAUGCCUAAAUUUGUAACAUUGGUAAGCUUUUUUAUUUUAUUUUUUGUUUUAAAUAUCAACACUUUUUGACACUUGUUACUUAAGCAGCUCUAUUCCCAAGUAAUCACAAAACUUAUCUCGCAUCACUAAUGUGAUAACUACACUAAGAAAUAAUAGAUUUUAAGAGCUUAAGAAAUGCAAAAAUAUAAAUAAAAAUGUUCUUCAUAUAUUUUUAUAUAUAAAAUAUGUUUUUUGCGGCACAUUUGUAAGCACAAUAGUGAUGCGAGGAGUUUCGUGAUUGCGUAGGAACAGAGCUGUAAGUGUUGUUAGAAUUUUGCGACAUUAUAUUUUAUUUAAGUCAAAAGCGGCGUCAUAUUUUUGUAUACAUUUAAUGGUCUGAAUAAAAAAAA